UACGGGGGGGGUAAGCGUUGUUCGGAAUUACUGGGCGUAAAGGGCUCGUAGGCGGCCAACUAAGUCAUACGUGAAAUCCCUCAGCUUAACUGGGGAACUGCGUGUGAUACUGGAUGGCUUGGAUUUGGGAGAGGGAUGCGGAAUUCCAGGUGUAGCGGUGAAAUGCGUAGAUAUCUGGAGGAACACCGGUGGCGAAGGCGGCAUCCUGGACCAAUAUUGACGCUGAUGAGCGAAAGCCAGGGGAGCAAACGGG
rnacentral:rRNA from 1 species